GGGAAAUGCUUAUUCUAUCUAGGUGGAAGAGCUUGGUGAAAUUCGAUCGACUCAUGAGGCUAGAUUUAGAUCUUGACAUGCUCUUUCUUAGUUCUUAGACAGCUUAAGUUGAUGUCAAAUCCAGUUUCAGUCUGGCAGGUGUUGUUGUCAGCUGUUUUGUUUGCAGACAAAAGGGGGCAGGAGCUGCAAAAAUAACUGUAGUGGUCAAGGAGUUUGUAACUAUGAACUUGGUCCAUGUCGGUGUUUUCACGGAUUUAGAGGUGAGCUAUUUUUCUAUUUUAUUUUGAUCUACAUCAAUUUUAGUGAAAAAUCUUAAAUAAAUAGCAGAAACUAGUACAGGUUGACAUCUCCCUUUGAUUAUCCCUGUUAUAAGAACCAUUAGUUUGUUCAUUCGAUGAACAUGGAAGUUGGAACUGCGGGACUGGAAAAGCCAGAUGGCUACUCGGAAAUUGAUUUUGAAAAUACAGAUGAUUAGAUUUGGCAUUGCCAACAGUGGAUGGUUUCCAGGGUCGAGAGAAGGAAGCCAUCAUUAUUUCAAUGGUUCGAUCGAACUCAAAGAAAGAGGUGGGGUUUUUGAGUGACCACAGGCGAAUGAAUGUGGCUGUGACACGGGCAAGAAGACAGUGCUGUCUUGUAUGUGACACGGAGACAGUGAGUAGUGAUGGGUUCUUAAAGCGAUUAAUUGAGCAUUUUGAGGAGCACAGGGAGUAUCUAAGUGCAUCAGAGCACCUCAAUGGAUAAGCAAAGGUUGCUAGUGAAGAGGGCUGUUUUAAACUGUCAGAGAUAAUCAAAUCGUUUACUGGAAGAUGUAACUGGGAAAGUAUUCUCACCAUCUGACAGUUGAUUGGAGAAGAUUUUACCUGUUUUUAUUCAUCUAAUUGACCAGAAACGAUUAUGCUUUGUAUUUUUUACCAGAAUUUUGAAAUAGAUUAUCAAAAUCUAGUCUAUA